CUACAUUGUGAAACCAAAGAGAUAAUGUAGAAAUAAGUACAAACUGGACGAAAGUCCUCGCCCAUUACUUCUGUUCAACCGUCUCUAUUAAGUUUUUGUAGACUGAAAUAUCAACAUUUGAUCCUUCCUUUGAUCCAGAUACACUGAUCUUACGGAUUUGCUGACGCUGAGGUUGUCAACCUGCUUACCGCCACAGCCACUGACUGGCACUGAGGCUGACAAGCCACCAAAGGCUUCAUGGCAUCCUGACAGGCUUCCACAGGUUUCUCCAAAUUCACAUGGUCAGAACUAUUCUUCAAAGCUGCUCUUGAUGUGUCGCUGGAGUCCUCAUCGAUCCACCUCACCAGUGCCUUGAAAAACACAAACACUGCAUUUUAACAACUAACAGGGCUACACAGAGAAACCUUGUCUCAAAAAACAAAACUAGUACAGAAAAUGAUCUCAGGCAGAAGAUAACUGACAUUGGAGUCAGGUUUUCUAAAUCUGCGGUUUGUGUCCCCGCGAAGAGGCUGCAUUUGGAGGAGUGGAUUAUGAGUACAAGACAUGACACCCAGCGAAACAACACAGACCAAAACCAGAGGACAGAAACGAUGGUCCAAAGUAUACAAGAGCUGGGUUCCUCGAGUCCAUUAGCCUAACAAUCAGAAAAGGACAAGUCAGGAGGUCAGCAUGCUACAAGUUCAUGGCUAACCUUGGGUUACAUAGUGAAUGCCAUACUGGCUUGUAUGAAACCCCACCCUACCUCAAAAAAUAAAAAAAUAAAGACCUAUACUAAUUCUUA